GCAUAUCAAUAAGCGGAGGAAAAGAAACCAACAGGGAUUGCCUCAGUAACGGCGAGUGAAGCGGCAACAGCUCAAAUUUGAAAUCUGGCUCUUUCAGGGUCCGAGUUGUAAUUUGUAGAAGAUGCUUUGGGUGUGGCUCCGGUCUAAGUUCCUUGGAACAGGACGUCAUAGAGGGUGAGAAUCCCGUAUGUGACUGGCUGCCUUCGCCUAUGUAAAGCUCUUUCGACGAGUCGAGUUGUUUGGGAAUGCAGCUCAAAAUGGGUGGUAAAUUUCAUCUAAAGCUAAAUAUUGGCCAGAGACCGAUAGCGCACAAGUAGAGUGAUCGAAAGAUGAAAAGCACUUUGGAAAGAGAGUUAAACAGUACGUGAAAUUGUUGAAAGGGAAGCGCUUGCAACCAGACUUGCAUGCGGUUAAUCAUCUGGUGUUCUCACCGGUGCACUUGACCGUGUUCAGGCCAGCAUUGGUUCAGGUGGUGAGAUAAAGGCCUUGGGAAUGUAGCUUCUUUCGGGGAGUGUUAUAGCCCUCGGUGCAAUGUCGCCUACCUGGACCGAGGACCGCGCUUCGGCUAGGAUGCUGGCGUAAUGGUUGUAAGCGACCCGUCUUGAAACACGGACC
rnacentral:rRNA from 1 species